rnacentral:rRNA from 1 species
ACUCCUACGGGAGGCAGCAGUAGGGAAUCUUCGGCAAUGGGGGCAACCCUGACCGAGCAACGCCGCGUGAGUGAAGAAGGUUUUCGGAUCGUAAAGCUCUGUUGUAAGAGAAGAACGUGUGUGAGAGUGGAAA